UACGUAGGGUGCAAGCGUUGUCCGGAAUCAUUGGGCGUAAAGCGCGCGUAGGUGGCCAUUUAAGUCCGCUGUGAAAGUCAAAGGCUCAACCUUUGAAAGCCGGUGGAUCUGGAUGGCUAGAGUACGGAAGAGGCGAGUGGAAUUCCUGGUGUAGCGGUGGAAUGCGCAGAUAUCAGGAGGAACACCAAUAGCGAAGGCAGCUCGCUGGGACGUUACUGACACUGGAGGCGCGAAAGCGUGGGGAGCGAACAGG
rnacentral:rRNA from 1 species